CCUACGGGGGGCAGCAGUGGGGAAUAUUGGACAAUGGGGGGAACCCUGAUCCAGCGACGCCGCGUGAGUGAAGAAGUAUUUCGGUAUGUAAAGCUCUAUCAGCAGGGAAGAAAGAAAUGACGGUACCUGACUAAGAAGCCCCGGCUAACUACGUGCCAGCAGCCGCGGUAAUACGUAGGGGGCAAGCGUUAUCCGGAUUUACUGGGGGUAAAGGGGGCGUAGACGGCGAUGCAAGUCUGAAGUGAAAGGCGGGGGCCCAACCCCCGGACUGCUGUGGAAACUGUAUGGCUUGAGUGCAGGAGAGGUAAGUGGAAUUCCUAGUGUAGCGGUGAAAUGCGUAGAUAUUAGGAGGAACACCAGUGGCGAAGGCGGCUUACUGGACUGUAACUGACGUUGAGGCUCGAAAGCGUGGGGAGCAAACAGGAUUAGAUACCCUUGUAGUC
rnacentral:rRNA from 1 species